CUACGUGCCAGCAGCCGCGGUAAUACGUAGGGCGCGAGCGUUGUCCGGAAUUAUUGGGCGUAAAGAGCUUGUAGGCGGUUGGUCGCGUCUGCUGUGAAAGGCCGGGGCUUAACUCCGGUUUUGCAGUGGGUACGGGCUAACUAGAGUGCAGUAGGGGAGACUGGAAUUCCUGGUGUAGCGGUGGAAUGCACAGAUAUCAGGAGGAACACCGAUGGCGAAGGCAGGUCUCUGGGCUGUAACUGACGCUGAGAAGCGAAAGCAUGGGGAGCGAACAGGAUUAGAUACCCUGGUAGUCCAUGCCGUAAACGUUGGGCACUAGGUGUGGGGGACAUUCCACGUUUUCCGCGCCGUAGCUAACGCAUUAAGUGCCCCGCCUGGGGAGUACGGCCGCAAGGCUAAAACUCAAAGGAAUUGACGGGGGCCCGCACAAGCGGCGGAGCAUGCGGAUUAAUUCGAUGCAACGCGAAGAACCUUACCAAGGCUUGACAUGC
rnacentral:rRNA from 1 species